rnacentral:rRNA from 1 species
UACGGGGGGGGCAAGCGUUGUUCGGAAUUACUGGGCGUAAAGGGCUCGUAGGCGGCCAACUAAGUCGGAUGUGAAAUCCCCAGGCUUAACCUGGGAACUGCAUCCGAUACUGGAUGGCUUGAAUCCGGGAGAGGGAUGCAGAAUUCCAGGUGUAGCGGUGAAAUGCGUAGAUAUCUGGAGGAACACCAGUGGCGAAAGCGGCGCUCUGGGCCUAAACUGACGCUGAGGGGCGAAAGCGUGGGGAGCGAACGGG